AGAGUGCGUAAUAGCUCACUAGUCGAGAGGUCCUGCGCCGAAAAUGUCCGGGGCUGAAACACACUACCGAAGCUCAGGAAUGUACUUGUACAUUGGUAGAGGAGCAUUGUAUACGGGAAGAAGCAGUACCGAUAAGGAGCUGUGGACUGUAUAGAAGAGAGAAUGCCGGAAUGAGUAGCGAGAGGAAGGUGAGAAUCCUUCCGGCCGAAUAUCUAAGGUUUCCAGAGUAAAGCUGAUCUGCUCUGGGUAAGUCGGGGCCUAAGGCGAGGUCGAAAGACGUAGUCGAUGGAUAACAGGUUGAAAUUCCUGUACUAUCCUGUAACAGAACUGUGGGGACGCAGACAGAGAGCACAAGCCGGGAAUGGAAAGACCGGUGCAAGCGAGGUAGGAGUACAUCAGGCAAAUCCGGUGUGCAAUCCGAAGACGUGAUGCGGAUCGAAAAGAAGUAGAGAAGUGUGUGAGCUGGCUGCCAAGAAAAGCCGCUAUUGUUUACAGGAUACCCGUACCGUAAACCGACACAGGUGGAUGAGGAGAGAAUCCUAAGGCCGACGGGAGAAGCAUUGUUAAGGAACUCGGCAAAAUGACUCCGUAACUUCGGGAGAAGGAGUGCCAGUGAGAGCUGGCCGCAGAGAAUUGGCCCAAGCAACUGUUUAGCAAAAACACAGGUCUAUGCAAAACCGAAAGGUGAGGUAUAUGGGCUGACGCCUGCCCGGUGCUGGAAGGUUAAGAGGAGAGGUUAGCGCAAGCGAAGCUUUGAAUUUAAGCCCCAGUAAACGGCGGCCGUAACUAUAACGGUCCUAAGGUAGCGAAAUUCCUUGUCGGGUAAGUUCCGACCCGCACGAAAGGCGUAAUGAUUUGAGCGCUGUCUCGACAAUGCAUCCGGUGAAAUUGAAGUACCAGUGAAGAUGCUGGUUACCUGCGCCAGGACGGAAAGACCCCAUGGAGCUUUACUCCAGUUUGGUACUGGGGUCCGGCAGUGCAUGUACAGGAUAGGUGGGAGGCUGUGAACCUGGAACGCCAGUUUCAGGGGAGCCAUUGUUGGGAUACCACCCUUGUGCUGCUGGGCUUCUAACCAGCGGCCUUUAUCAGGCCGGGGGACAAUGCCAGACGGGGAGUUUGACUGGGGCGGUCGCCUCCGAAAGGGUAUCGGAGGCGCCCAAAGGUUCCCUCAGAAUGGACGGAAACCAUUCGAAGAGUGCAAAGGCAGAAGGGAGCUUGACUGCGACACCGACGG
rnacentral:rRNA from 1 species